AGUUUGAUCCUGGCUCAGAACGAACGCUGGCGGCGCGUUUUAAGCAUGCAAGUCGAACGGGAACCUUGUUUUCGGACGAGGGGAUAGUGGCGAACGGGUGAGUAACACGUAGGUGAUCUGUCCUUGGAGUGGGGGAUAGCCCAUGGAAACAUGGGGUAAUACCGCAUGAGGUCUUGGAACUAUGGUUCUUAGAUGAAAGGAGCAAAUGUUCCGCUUUGGGAUGAGCCUGCGGUCCAUUAGCUAGUUGGUAGGGUAAAGGCCUACCAAGGCUACGAUGAAUAGCCGGCCUGAGAGGGUGAACGGUCACACUGGGACUGAGACACGGCCCAGACUCCUACGGGAGGCAGCAGCUAAGAAUCUUCCGCAAUGGGGGAAACCCUGACGGAGCGACGCCGCGUGGACGAUGAAGGCCUAGAGGUUGUAAAGUCCUUUUGCAGACGAAGAAUAAGGCAAGGAGUGGAACGCCUUGCUGAUGACGUUAGUCUUGCGAAUAAGCCCCGGCCAAUUACGUGCCAGCAGCCGCGGUAACACGUAUGGGGCGAGCGUUGUUCGGAAUUAUUGGGCGUAAAGGGCGCGUAGGCGGUGCUAUAAGCUUGGUGUGAAAUCCCCCGGCCUAACUGGGGAAUAGCGCUGAGAACUGUAGUGCUUGAGUUCUGGAGAGGAAGCUGGAAUUCCUGGUGUAGGGGUGAAAUCUGUAGAUAUCAGGAAGAACACCGGUGGCGAAGGCGGGCUUCUGGCCAGAAACUGACGCUGAGGCGCGAAAGCGUGGGGAGCGAACAGGAUUAGAUACCCUGGUAGUCCACGCUGUAAACGAUGUGCACUGGGUGUCGGGGCUUUAAUGGGUCUCGGUGCCGUAGUUAACGCGAUAAGUGCACCGCCUGGGGAGUAUGCUCGCAAGGGUGGAACUCAAAGGAAUUGACGGGGGCCCGCACAAGCGGUGGAGCAUGUGGUUUAAUUCGAUACGCGAGGAACCUUACCAGGGCUUGACAUGUACCUGACGGUCUGUGAGAGCAGGCUUUCUCUUCUGGGACGGGUACACAGGUGCUGCAUGGUUGUCGUCAGCUCGUGUCGUGAGAUGUUGGGUUAAGUCCCGCAACGAGCGCAACCCCUACUGUCUGUUGCCAGCAUUAAGUUGGGGACUCGGACGGAGCUGCCGGUGACAAACCGGAGGAAGGUGGGGAUGACGUCAAAUCAUCAUGGCCCUUAUGUCCUGGGCUACACACGUGCUACAAUGGCAGGUACAGCGCGCAGGAGCGAAACGGUGACGUGGAGCCAAUCGCUAAAAGCCUGCCUCAGUUCGGAUUGGAGUCAGAAACUCGACUCCAUGAAGGUGGAAUCGCUAGUAAUCGCGCAUCAGCAUGGCGCGGUGAAUACGUUCCCGGGCCUUGUACACGCCGCCCGUCACACCACCCGAGUUGGGGGUACCCGAAGUCGCUUGUCUAACCCAUUUAUGGGACGACGGCGCCGAAGGUAUGCCUGGUAAGGGGGGUGAAGUCGUAACAAGGUA
rnacentral:rRNA from 1 species